rnacentral:lncRNA from 1 species
GUGUUUGUUCCGGCUGAUAUCACAGUUUUUAUUUUUUAGGUUCAGUCAUGUUAUAUAAACACUAGCAGUAAUUGGUCUGCACUAACUAAUACAUUGUUUACAGUGAUGCAGACAAACUUAUUUGUGUCUCAUCUUGAUAGUGUAGUUAUAACUUUUACAUUUUAUGCUUUUUUCGUCUCUAUCUUAAUGUGGUACGUGAGCUUGCAAAUAAAUGUCACGUCUAUGAGGAAAUCAUGAGUCAUGCAUGUCCAAUUUAAUUGACUUGUGAGUACCGAUAGAGUAAGAUUCUUUUCCGUCUCUUCUUAUAUGUGGGCAUGAUAUGGCCUAUGUGUUACUCCCUUCUAGUUGCGAAAAUAAUUUCUCUCAGCUAUAGCCAAGGUUGUCAGGAUCGCGAUAUAGAUCGUGAAAUCGUACGAUCUCGCGCGUCACCAGGUCUCCACCGAGUUGGAGCGGUUCAAAGAUCGGAGAAGACGGCGGAGCGUGCGGCGAGCAGAGGAAGAGCGUAAGAUCGUGAAAUCUUCGCUCUGAUUCGCAUCAGAGAAGAACGGUUUGACCCGGUUGUUUCGCGCGAAGAGUGAGGUCGGAAUGACAUGAGCUGCUCGUUUGUUGUUUUCUGCGGCGGCUGGUUGCAGAGGCGGCUGUGUUAUGUUGAAGGAGAAGACUAGGUCUAGGUUAAGUUAGUGGAAAAGACUUAUUUGGGCCUAAACUUAUAUAAAUAUAAAUAAAUUAUUAUGACUUAUAUGGGUCUGAGAACAAAAAGAAAAAAGACUUAUGUGGGCCUAGACCUAUAAUUUAAUUUUUUGGCUACAAGACGUAUAAUAAACUAUUAUGAAUUUAUUUUUUUAAGGGAAAAACUAUUAUGAAUUAUUAAUUUAACUUAGUUUAAUGUUGUAAUUUAUAAGUUUUUUUUUUAUGAAAGGUUAUUUUUCUUAGUUAUUUUUAUAAUUUUGUCUGUUUGGUGGGAUCUUACGAUCUUACGGUCUACGCUUUUUCUGUACCCCAACGAUCUUUAGUGAGAUCCCGAUUUUGACAACCAUGGCUAUAGCUAUAAUAGAGUUGGUAGGUUGGGUUUAUUUGGAAUUACUGUUGCUUGUUCAGAAGUUAUGUUACUUACAAGGUUUGUAUCUGUAUGGUUUUUAGUGACUGUUGUCACAAUUCCUUAAAUAUUUGCUAGAAAAACGAAGUUUGAUUGUUGGUGAGAGGAAGGGAAAUAUAUUAAAAUUUAAGCAGAUAAAAUGGCGUUCAUGUGAAAACUCCCAUCAUGUUGGUUAUAUAUCCUGGAAUUUAUAUCAUACAUAGUUGAAUCAGAUUGCAUGCGGUGUUUUAAAAACCGGACCGGCUGGUCAGACUGGGAAUUGGACCUACGGCCGGACAGGUCACUAGACUAUAUUAGACCGCUCAUGCAUUUGAACCGGUCAAACACACAUAAGCCUGUAUGAAUUGAUGUGGUCUGGUUCAGUGAAAAUAUCGCAGUGCUUUUAUCGAGUAGCCUGCACCAGGAUCAAACCAGGGCCAAUAGUGUGCGGCAACGAAAUAUCGCAGUG